rnacentral:rRNA from 1 species
GAUGAACGCUAGCUACAGGCUUAACACAUGCAAGUCGCGGGGCAGCAUGGGGGUUGCUUGCCAUCCCCGAUGGCGACCGGCGCACGGGUGAGUAACGCGUAUCCAACCUGCCCUUCACCACGGGCUAACCCGGCGAAAGUCGGACUAAUACCGUAUGUUGUCCAUUGACGGCAUCCGAUUUGGACGAAAGGCUUGGCGGGCAGGGAUGGGGAUGCGUCCUAUUAGCCAGAAGGCGGGGUAACGGCCCACCUUGGCUACGAUCGGUAGGGGUUAUGAGAGGAAGGUCCCCCACACUGGAACGGAGACACGGUCCAGACUCCUACGGGAGGCAGCAGUGAGGAAUAUUGGUCAAUGGGCGUAAGCCUGAACCAGCCAAGUAGCGUGCAGGAUGACGGCCCUAUGGGUUGUAAACUGCUUUUAUGCGGGGAUAAAGUGGCCCACGUGUGGGCUUUUGCAGGUACCGCAUGAAUAAGGACCGGCUAAUUCCGUG